rnacentral:rRNA from 1 species
UACAGAGGGUGCGAGCGUUAAUCGGAAUUACUGGGCGUAAAGCGCACGUAGGUGGCGACGUAAGUCGGGUGUGAAAGCCCCGGGCUCAACCUGGGAAUUGCAUUCGAGACUGCAUUGCUGGAGUACGGAAGAGGAGGGCGGAAUUCCCGGUGUAGCGGUGAAAUGUGUAGAGAUCGGGAGGAACACCGGUGGCGAAGGCGGUCUGCUGGGCAGUUUCUGACACUGAUGCGCGACAGCGUGGGGAGCAAACAGG